UUUGCAAGUAAUCAACGCUGACAGAAGAGAGAGCGCACUUAACGGCCACUGCAUCUAUCAUUCUAUCAUCUAUGGUAUCGUUUUCCCGUGAAGUCGUCGUUGUGUGCUCCUCUCUUUUCUCGUCAGCAUUGAUUUAUGAUCCGUGAAUCUCCUCGAUAUUGGAGACAAUGACUAGAUUUCUCGAUUUGGAAGGUCACGACGCCUUUUCUAGUCUCUAUCUUCCAACGGUGACGUCAUUUUGAUUUUAAUACUUUUGAGUUUUUUCAAUUCUCAUCAUCUCACUACCGUUUACCAAGUUUCAGUAUAUGUUGUAGCCAUGCAGGGACGACGGAUCUAGGGAUUCCGGGCAUCUAACUUUGAGAGUUCAAUGAAUCUAAUUAUUAAGGACUCCGGUCUUUUUUUUCCAGAGUUGAAAUCUUCAAAAAAAAAAAAAAAAAAAAAAAAAAAAAAAAAAAACCCAAAGAGAACUACUAUACAAGUUUGUUUGAGAGUCAAAUUUCCUGAGUUUACUUGAUUAGCAAGUCAAAUAGGAAAUCACUGCAUCAUGCCAUCAACCGAUUUGUUCAAUUAUGGAGCCAGCCAUAUGGAAGAUAUAUAAUCCAGUUCAAUGACCCUUCAAAUACUGAUGUUCGUAUUGGAGAUCUAGCUAGUGGAGGGUCUAUAUAAGCUAACAAAGAGAAUUCCGGCAUGAGGGCUUCCUUGGAUCGAACGGAACAAGCAUUGGAAGGAAGGACGAAGCAAACCACUACUAGAGUGAUACAGAAGGAAAUGCUCAAAGAUAUCAACAUUCUCUUUAAUUGUACCAGUUUCAAAAAAUCCCAUAAAAACAUAGCAUUGAAAUGCCAGCGAUAAUCAACCGGAAAGCGACAGUAUUCAAGCAUUUCAUAUUAAUCUAAUUACUAUUUAUUUAUAGUCUCACGACUCAAUCUUAAGGCCCAAUAGCACAUAUAUAUAUAGGAACUUUAAACCCUAAACAUUUUCAUCUUUUUUCCGCUGCACUCAUUACAUUCGUUAAUAUAACAAAACAGGAAACCCUAGUUUCUAAAAUCGCGUCUUCCUCCUCCCCCUCUCCUCGUCUCAUCUACUUGCGUUUUCGGUUAAACACACUCUAGAUCAGUGGUUGACUUUACCAGACAGUGCCCGCGAUCGUGGAUGAAGUCUUAUAGGAAACCAAGAGAGAAAUAACAUAUACCUUCUGAUCUAGUUUCAAAGAAACUUUAAUGGG
rnacentral:lncRNA from 1 species